rnacentral:rRNA from 1 species
AGAACGAACGCUGGCGGCAUGCCUAACACAUGCAAGUCGAACGCUUCCGGGGCUUCGGUCGCGGAGGAGUGGCGCACGGGUGAGUAGCGCGUGGGAACCUGCCCUGUUGUGGGGGAUAACCGAGGGAAACUUCGGCUAAUACCGCAUACGCCCCGGGACUUGGUCUUCGGAUUAGGUCUGGGGGGAAAGAUUGAUCGCAGCAGGAGGGGCCCGCGUCGGAUUAGCUGGUUGGUGGGGUAACGGCUCACCAAGGCGAUGAUCCGUAGCUGGUCUGAGAGGAUGAUCAGCCACACUGGGACUGAGACACGGCCCAGACUCCUACGGGAGGCAGCAGUGGGGAAUAUUGGACAAUGGGCGCAAGCCUGAUCCAGCCAUGCCGCGUGAGUGAUGACGGCCUUAGGGUUGUAAAGCUCUUUCGCUCGGGACGAUAAUGACGGUACCGAGAUAAGAAGCCCGGCUAACUUCGUGCCAGCAGCCGC